rnacentral:misc_RNA from 1 species
GGUGUACUUCGGAAGAGACCUCAGGAUCUUCUUCUUGAGACCUUUGUUGGAGGCAGGAGGCGGAGGAGGACGAGUGGAAGCAGCGCCGCCCCCAUCGCCGGCGAGAUGGCGUAGCCAGGCGCAGCGGGCAACAGCAACAAGACCAAGAACGCAAAUCAAGGCACAGAGGAGGGCGGCGAGGAUUAUGACGAAGUCAGAGUCAUACCUCUCGGGCUCAGCCGUGUCGGAGAUGGCGGAGGAGUUGACGCCGGCAAGGUACCUGAAGGGACGCAUUUGAAGCGGCGAGAGAAAGGAAGAGGCUAUUAAAGAUAAGAAAAGAAAAGGAUGGUCG